rnacentral:rRNA from 1 species
UUAUUAUUAAUUUAUUUUUAUUUUUUUUUUUAUUGUUUUGAUGAAAGUAUUUUUUUUGUUAUUGUAUAUAUUUUUAAUCUAAUUUUUUUUAUUAUAGUUUAUUUGUACUGUAGAGGUUUAUUUUUAUUAUUUGUUAAGUUGAUUUAUUUUGUUGUACCUUGUGUAUCAGGGUUUAUUGAAUUUUUUUAUUUAUUUUUUGAUUCCCGAUUUUAAAUGAGUUAAUUAAUUAUUUUAGUUGUUGUUUUAUAAACAUUAAUUAUAUUUUUUUGGUAAUGAUAUGUUAUUCGUUUUUUAUGGUAUCUGGUUUUUCGGGAAAUGAAUUUAAUUCAGGUAUUAUUUUUAAUUUUUCUUUAUUAUUAGGUUUUUUUUAUUUAGUACUUAUGUAUUGGGGGAUUAGCUCUUUUAUAUAUUUUUAUAAGAUUUUUAUUGUUUUAUUUUUGUGGGUUUUAUAUUGACUAUCAUUUUGAUUAUGUUGAAAUUUUAAUUUUUGAUUUUUUUAUUUGUAUUGUUUUUAGGUUUUUUAUUGGAAUGUUUUAAAUUAAAUCUUUUUUUUAUAGUAAUUAUUAUUUAAUUAGUAUAUUGUUAUUUAUUUUUGUUUAUUUCUUAUUAGGUUUUUUAGAGGAACUAGGCAAAUUUCUUUCACUCGCCUGUUUAUCAAAAACAUCUCUUCUUGAAUAUAUUUUGAUGUAUGGCCUGCCCACUGAAUAUUGAAGGGCCGCGGUAUUUUGACCGUGCAAAGGUAGCAUAAUCAUUAGUCUUUUAAUUGUAGGCUGGAAUGAAUGGUUUGACGAGGUGUAAACUGUCUUUAAUUUAUUUAUUGAAUUUAAAUUUUAGGUUAAAAUGCCUAAAUAUUUUUUUGGGACGAGAAGACCCUAUAGAGUUUAUAUAUAUUUUUAUUUUUUUGUAUGAUAUUUUUUUUAAUUUGAAAAUUUAUUUUGUUGGGGUGAUGGAAAGAUUUAAUUAACUCUUUUUAUUUUUUUAUAUUUAUUUAUAUAUAUUUGAUCCAUUUUUGUUGAUUAUAAGACUAAAUUACCUUAGGGAUAACAGCGUAAUUCUUUUUGAGAGUUCUUAUUGACAAAAGAUUUUGCGACCUCGAUGUUGGAUUAAGAUUAAUUUUUGGUGUAGGUGCUAUUAUAUUAGGUCUGUUCGACCUUUAAAAUCUUACAUGAUCUGAGUUCAAACCGGUGUAAGCCAGGUUGGUUUCUAUCUAUAAUAAUUUGUAACGUUUUAGUACGAAAGGACCAUAUGUUUUAAAUAAUUUUAUUUUUCUGAUUAUUAAUAAUU